rfam:Methanohalobium evestigatum Z-7303, complete genome.
GCGGCUGUGGUCUAGUGGUCAUGACAGAGGCUUCCCAAGCCUCUAACCCGGGUUCGAAUCCCGGCAGCCGCA